rnacentral:rRNA from 1 species
CCCUUAGAUGUUCUGGGCCGCACGCGCGCUACACUGAUGCAUUCAACGAGUCUAAAACCUGCUCUGAUAGGGGUGGGUAAUCUUUUGAAUGUGCAUCGUGAUUGGGAUAGAUGAUUGCAAUUUUUCAUCUUCAACGAGGAAUACCUAGUAAGUGCGAGUCAUCAGCUUGCGCUGACUACGUCCCUGCCCCUUGUACACACCGCCCGUCGCUACUACCGAUUGGAUGGUUUAGUGAGAUCCUCGGAUUGGUCACGGCACGGUGGCAACACUGCGUCGGUGUGCCGAGAAGACGAUCAAACUUGAUCAUCUAGAGGAAGUAAAAGUCGUAACA